ACAAUGAUAGCGGCCCCCCCUGUUAACUCCAGCAGCCCAUCAAAAACAAAAUGAAUGGUGAGAGAUCACGACACCUAUUGGGGGAGAAAGUGGGGGAGUGGUUUUGGGGGUACGUAGCAGCUUCGAACUCCUUAGAAACCCUAUCUGAGCCGACAACCACUUUAAACAUCAUCCUUGUCUCUCUCAACUGAUCUUUCCCUAUAUUUUGCUGCUAGAUUUAGUUUAUUCUUUUUGUGUUUUCAGUCGUUUUCCUUUCUCUGGGUUUGAUCUAUCAUGAAGAGGUUGCUUUCUGGAGAAACUUCUACCAGUGUAGCAACAAGAAUUACCUUAGCAUGGGAAACUAAAACACCAAUAUCAAUAAUAAGAUCAAGAUCAUCAUCAAGUUCGUCAUCUCCAGCAAUUGUUACCAAGACUCAACACCGAUUCGGCCCGAUCCAGCUCAAUUAGAUCUCCUAAUACUGAUUCAGAAGAAGAUAUGUGUUACUGCUACUUUGAAAUUUUUGGUUACUGCUACUUUGAAACUUUUGGUUACUGUCACUUUGAUAAUGUUAGUUCUUCUAACUUUGAACCACUUGUUCUUAGCAAAACCCGGUUGUAUCUAACAUUGAUCCCAUUGUUGCUAUGUGUAGUGAUGCAAGCUAGUUUUUUAUGGUUAGUUUGGCCACCUGAUGUGGUUCCUGCUUUUAAAAAAACUUGGUGAUGCAAACAAUUUGGCCACCUAAUAUAGUUUGGUCAUUCUGUAAUUCUGAAAUGGUUGAUAGGUUUGAACGGGCAGGAUUGUUAAACAAGAACUGGUGGAGAUACUAUAGAUUUGAAGGCUAUGUAAUGAUUUUGAAAAUUCAUGUAAGAUUUUCCGAUUUCCAAAAUCGGCUGUAUGGAUGAAUGUGUGGAGGAUUUUCUCUUUUUUUAAUCUAUGUCCAUAUCCACUAUUUAUUUAUGCCUGCCACAAAUUAUACUGUAUAUCUUAAUUAUUAUAUUAACUGUAUAAAUAAAUUAGAAGAUCA